rnacentral:rRNA from 1 species
UACGUAGGGACCAAGCGUUGUUCGGAAUUACUGGGCGUAAAGGGCGCGUAGGCGGUGUGUCAAGUCAGGCGUGAAAGCCCCGGGCUCAACCUGGGAACAGCGCUUGAGACUGGCACGCUCGAGUUCGGGAGAGGAUGGUGGAAUUCCCAGUGUAGAGGUGAAAUUCGUAGAUAUUGGGAAGAACACCGAUGGCGAAGGCAGCCAUCUGGACCGACACUGACGCUGAGGCGCGAAAGCGUGGGGAGCAAACAGG